CCACCCGUAGCUCAGCUGGAUAGAGUGCAUGCCUCCGGAGCAUGAGGUCACAGGUUCGAAUCCUGUCGGGUGGGCCA
rnacentral:tRNA from 3 species